CGGUAAUUCCAGCUCCAAUAGCGUAUAUUAAAGUUGUUGCAGUUAAAAAGCUCGUAGUUGGACUUCUGCGGGGACGGAGCGGCCGGACGCAACUUGCGUCUCGAGCUAGCGCUUUCCCCGCAUCCUGCCGCGAACCGUGCUACCAUUAGCUUGGUGGCGCUGGGGAUCGGCUCGAUUACUUUGAGAAAAAUAGAGUGUUCAAAGCAGGCCACACGCCUUGAAUAAGUUAGCAUGGAAUAAUGACUAAGGACUUUGGUUCUUUUCGUUGGUGUUUGGGACUGAAGUAAUGAUUGAUAGGGACAGUUGGGGCGGUUUGUAUUCCAAAGCGAGAGGUGAAAUUCUUAGACCUUCGGAAGACAAACAGCUGCGAAAGCGUUCCGCAAGGAUGUUCCCUUUGAUCAAGAACGAAAGUUGGGGGAUCGAAGACGAUCAGAUACCGUCGUAGUCUCAACUAUAAACUAUACCAGCUAGGGAUCGGCUAAUGUUUAAUUAUUCGACUUGGUCGGCACCUUAUGAGAAAUCAAAGCAUCUGGGUUCCGGGGGGAGUAUGGUCGCAAGGCUGAAACUUAAAGGAAUUGACGGAAGGGCACCACCAGGCGUGGAGCCUGUGGCUUAAUUUGACUCAACACGGGAAAACUUACCAGGUCCAGACAUAGGAAGGAUUGACAGAUUGAUAGCUCUUUCUUGAUUCUGUGGGUGGUGGUGCAUGGCCGUUUUUAGUCGGUGAAGUGAUUUGUCUGCUUAAUUGCGUUAACGGACGAGAUUCCAGCCUGCUAAAUAGCGCGGCCGAGCUUUGCUCGGUGCGAGUUUCUUAGAGGGAUUAUGAUGCGCGAUAGCACAAGGAAGUUUGGGGUAACAACAGGUCUGUGAUGCCCUUAGAUGUUCUGGUCCGCACACGGGCUACACUGGCGCCUGCAACGAGCAUAUCAGCUGGCCCGAGAGGGUCUUGGCUAAUCUUUGGAACCGGCGCCGUGCUUGGGAUUGACCAUUGCAAUUGUUGGUCAUGCAACGAGGAAUGCCUUGUAAACGCGAGUCAUCAGCUCGCAUUGAAUACGUCCCUGCCCUUUGUACACACCGCCCGUCGCUCCUAUCGAUGAAUGUUCCGAUGAAAUUUUCGGAGAGCGCCGGAGAACGGGGCUCUGCCCUGCAGAACUGGAGGCUCAAAGUCACUUAAAUCUGAACAUUUCGAGGAAGGAGAAGUCGUAACAAGGUAACC
rnacentral:rRNA from 1 species